rnacentral:lncRNA from 1 species
CACCAAAAUUAUGCCAAGAGGACACUCUACAGAUAUCUCACAAUCUAAAAUUUGAUUUUGAGCUCCAACACAUGAAAAAAUCAAAUCGUAGGGCACACUAGCAACACUUGCUAAUUCUCUCACUAUCCUUCUUACAACUUUUGCCUCACAAUUUUUUUUUGCCUUUUUCUCAAAUUUUUUUCAAUUUUUUUUUUGAUUUACACACCACUUAUCUCUAGUUUUCACCCAAAAACCUAGCACCAGGGCU